rnacentral:piRNA from 1 species
UCCCUUGCUUUGUGUUCACUUACAUAUC